ACGACUACAGCGUGUUCAUUGUUAUUAGUGACGGUUGCGAGUCGUGUCGAGUGUCACGAAUAAGUUCUACCCCGGAGCCUUUUACCUCGUUGACUCUUGACACCUUGAGAAACUUCCAUUCAUCUUAAACCCUUCAUUUCCCUUUAAGAACGCUCAAAAGUCAUUCUUUGGCCUCGAUACUGUAUCCUACGAUCAACGGAAUACUUAACUUUCGUGUGAGAAGAAAAUCAAGUAUUACUUGAAAGCUACUUUGAGUUAUUUCGUUCUCUCUUUCUCGCUAGAAGCGAGAUCGUGAGAAGUACUCCAGAUCGGGCCUGGCAGAAUCCAACAACAAGCAGGUACAUAUCGCGAAGGCUGUUACACUGAAGAGAUCGCUAACAAAGUGAGGAUCAAAUAAUAACACGUUUGGAUCGCGCGCGGCUCCAAGAAGAUAGAUGGCGCCCGACGAGUGAGCGAAUAAUUUGAUAAUGGCGACUGCUUCGCGUUGAAACGACUCUCCCCCUUAAUGGCGGCUGAUCGUGUGCCGAAGGUUAUCCCGGGUGAAAAUGAACCACUACUCGUGGAACAUCCUACUCGUUGCGCUGACCUCACCCUUGACACGAAUCGUCCUUUACCGAGGAGAGAGAUCAACAGACCGAACGAGAAACAUCCAAAGGAUUUGCAAUAAGGAGACUUGAGAGAGAAGAAUGAUGAAGAUGAAAGAAGAGAGGGAUAGGGAGGAAUAAGAAGAAGAAGAAGAAGAAGAAAAGGGAAGAAAGAUGCUCGCGGGUUCGGAGGAUCGGGCAUAGAAACAAAUGUACGCAUUAUGUAUUUUAGCUGCCAUUAAUUUGAGGCAGCACGUACAACAAAAUUGGCAAACCAAUUCAACGGCUACUAAACGUUUACCGUCGCAAAUUUCGUUAAAUUUGUUAAAAUGCUUCGAAGUUGAUAAGGUACUAAGGAAGACUGAAAAUUUACGAAAGGAUUUAAAAAAUAAUGUAAAAGUCAAUAACGAGGAUAACGAUCAAACAAUAUGGCGGAGUUCUUGGUUUUAUUUUCGAAAAUUUAUUAAAGAUCCUCGACAGACCUUCAAUAAUAUUAACGAAUCAAUCACAAAUUUCAAAAUUAUAACUAGCCCCUUGUCAAAAAAUAUCUACGAUUCUGUAUUAUUUUUUCCAACUAAUUCAUAAAAUGAAUAGUGAAGUUUAACGAUUACUAUCAAGGAAAUAAAUCAAUGAACCGAUGAUAUAGAAAACAACGAAGUCAAACUUUGAGCUGUAUUCCUAAUGGCGCCUUAGGAGUUUAAUUACAGUACUCAAAGUAUGAAAAUAAAUCAACACGUCUAUUAAAACAAUCGUACGAUCAUCUGUGUAAUCAUUGAAAUGUAUAAACAUAUAUGUAUAUGUAAUAAUUAAUAAUACAAAUUGAAAAAAU
rnacentral:lncRNA from 1 species